rnacentral:rRNA from 1 species
CAAUAGCGUAUAUUAAAGUUGUUGCGGUAAAAAAGCUCGUAGUUGGAUUUCUGUUGAGAGCGACCGGUCCAUACCAUGUAUGCGUAUCUGGCUUGCUCUCGGCAUCCUCUCGAUAGACGUUACUGCGCUUGAUUGCGUGGUGCGGAUCUCGGGACUUUUACUUUGAGGAAAUUAGAGUGUUCACGGCAGGCUUUCGCCAGAAUACAUUAGCAUGGAAUAAUACUAUAGGAUCUUGGUUCUAUUUUGUUGGUUUCUAGAAUUGAGAUAAUGAUUAAUAGGGACAAUUGGGGGCAUUCGUAUCAACACGUCGGAGGUGGAAUUCUUGGAUUGUGUUGCGACGAACUACUGCGAAAGCAUUUGCCAAGGAUGUUUUCAUUGA